UUCAGGUUCCUUUCCUUUUGGCUGAUAUAUAUAAGUGUUGCAGCUGUUGGAUGCCCCUUUUCCACUAUCCACUAAUAUUUGAUCAUAUGAAUAUAUUAGAUGAAAGUCCAAGGAGGAAGCGGUGACUGAUUACAUCACCAAGGUGAAGCAGAUGCAGAUGUAUGGAUCAAUAAAUAAUAACCAUUGUAAUCUGUCAGAUGGCUCAUAGUUCAUCUAUACAUGUAAUUGUUCCCAUCUCAUCAAUGUAUGGAUCGUUUGCUUGCUGUUAAUGGCAAA